CGCUGAUGUGAUCAGUUUCUUUUGGACUAAAUGACUCGACUCUGUGGAUUAUGUGAGUUGUUUUUGUGACAGAAGAGGUGCUGAUGAUGAGUCUGAUGAGGAGAGACUGGAGCGUUUGUUUGAGGCGACGUUUAUAUGACGACGUCUGAACAGAAGAAGUAAAAGUGUCGAGUCUGAUGAGGAGCGACGGGAACAUUUGUUUAAAUUUCAUGUUUUCAAGUCGGAUCGUGGAUGAUUUGUGUUCAAAUCCCGCUGCUCCGUGAGACGACACUUUGCGUUUGACGUGUGAUCUGUCGGACGAUUGUUUGUGUGUUUUAUAAACUCGUGUGGGCAGCAGCCAAACGAAGCAGGACACGAAAGAAAUCAAAUAAACUCAACGCCACUGACGUCCAAACACCUUCAACAGAAUCAUCUGGAGCAUUUCAGUCCUGGAACUGAUGAUCUCCACUGAACUAAAGGGAAAAAAGGAGAUGUUCACUUGAAAACUACCACUUCAUGACAUCACAAGGUGGAACAGAGCGUUUUGAUGUUUGGAGAAGUAAACAGACGAAUAAUAAAAACUCAAACACGACUCCAGUUCUGUUUUUGACGAGGAGACGACAUUAGAACACGACUUAAACCUCACACAGUCACAUUUGUGUCACAUAAAAACUUUAAAUUAUAUAUUGUGUUAAAAAAAGAACAU